GUGCACCAGUCGCGAAACCUCCGCAAUACACGAAAGUGUGACGGGGCCAUCCCGAGUGCCGUCCGCUGAGGACGGCUUUUCCCCAGUGUACACAGCUGGGGGAAUAAGGAGAGGGCAAGCCUGGUGUCAGCCGCCGCGGUAAUACCAGCUCUCCGAGUGGUGGGGACGCUUAUUGGGCCUAAAGCAUCCGUAGCCGGCUGGGCAAGUCCUCCGUUAAAUCCAACGAUUCAAUCGUUGGGCUGCGGGGGAUACUGUCCAGCUUGGGGGCGGGGAGAGGCCGACGGUAUUCCCGGGGUAGGGGUGAAAUCCUAUAAUCCCGGGAGGACCACCAGUGGCGAAGGCUGUCGGCUAGAACGCGCCCGACGGUGAGGGAUGAAAGCU
rnacentral:rRNA from 1 species